AGAGUUUGAUCAUGGCUCAGGNUGAACGCUAGCUACAGGCUUAACACAUGCAAGUCGAGGGGAAACGACAUCGAAAGCUUGCUUUUGAUGGGCGUCGACCGGCGCACGGGUGAGUAACGCGUAUCCAACCUGCCCACCACGUUGGGGAUAACCUUGCGAAAGUAAGACUAAUACCCAAUGAUAUCUCUAGAAGACAUCUGAAAGAGAUUAAAGAUUUAUCGGUGAUGGAUGGGGAUGCGUCUGAUUAGCUUGUUGGCGGGGUAACGGCCCACCAAGGCGACGAUCAGUAGGGGUUCUGAGAGGAAGGUCCCCCACAUUGGAACUGAGACACGGUCCAAACUCCUACGGGAGGCAGCA
rnacentral:rRNA from 1 species